GACGAACGCUGGCGGCGUGCUUAACACAUGCAAGUCGAACGGAAAGGCCCUGCUUUUGUGGGGUGCUCGAGUGGCGAACGGGUGAGUAACACGUGAGUAACCUGCCCUUGACUUUGGGAUAACUUCAGGAAACUGGGGCUAAUACCGGAUAGGAGCUCCUGCUGCAUGGUGGGGGUUGGAAAGUUUCGGCGGUUGGGGAUGGACUCGCGGCUUAUCAGCUUGUUGGUGGGGUAGUGGCUUACCAAGGCUUUGACGGGUAGCCGGCCUGAGAGGGUGACCGGCCACAUUGGGACUAAGAUACGGCCCAGACUCCUACGGGAGGCAGCGGUGGGGAAUAUGGCACAAUGGGCGGAAGCCUGAUGCAGCAACGCCGCGUGCGGGAUGACGGCCUUCGGGUUGUAAACCGCUUUCGCCUGUGACGAAGCGUGAGUGACGGUAAUGGGUAAAGAAGCACCGGCUAACUACGUG
rnacentral:rRNA from 1 species